UGUUUCGGCUAGGGGGCCAUCCCGGCUUACCAACCCGAUGCAAACUGCGAAUACCGGAGAAUGUUAUCACGGGAGACACACGGCGGGUGCUAACGUCCGUCGUGAAGAGGGAAACAACCCAGACCGCCAGCUAAGGUCCCAAAGUCAUGGUUAAGUGGGAAACGAUGUGGGAAGGCCCAGACAGCCAGGAUGUUGGCUUAGAAGCAGCCAUCAUUUAAAGAAAGCGUAAUAGCUCACUGGUCGAGUCGGCCUGCGCGGAAGAUGUAACGGGGCUAAACCAUGCACCGAAGCUGCGGCAGCGACACUCAGGUGUUGUUGGGUAGGGGAGCGUUCUGUA
rnacentral:rRNA from 1 species